rnacentral:rRNA from 1 species
UAGGUGUCGGGGGAUCGACCCCCUCGGUGUCGUAGCCAACGCGUUAAGUGUUCCGCCUGGGGAGUACGCACGCAAGUGUGAAACUCAAAGGAAUUGACGGGGGCCCGCACAAGCGGUGGAGUAUGUGGUUUAAUUCGAUGCAACGCGAAGAACCUUACCAGGGUUUGACAUCCUGCGAAUUUCUGGGAAACCGGAAAGUGCCUUCGGGAACGCAGUGACAGGUGGUGCAUGGCUGUCGUCAGCUCGUGUCGUGAGAUGUUGGGUUAAGUCCCGCAACGAGCGCAACCCACGUCUUUAGUUGCCAGCAUUCAGUUGGGCACUCUAGAGAGACCGCCGGUGAUAAACCGGAGGAAGGUGUGGAUGACGUCAAGUCAUCAUGCCCCUUACAUCCUGGGCUACACACGUACUACAAUGCUACGGACAAAGGGCAGCAAGUUCGCGAGGACAAGCAAAUCCCAUAAACCGUGGCUCAGUUCAGAUCGUAGGCUGCAACUCGCCUACGUGAAGGAGGAAUCGCUAGUAAUCGCAGGUCAGCAUACUGCGGUGAAUACGUUCCCGGGCCUUGUACACACCGCCCGUCACACCAUGGAAGUUGGCCACGCCCGAAGCCGUUACUCCAACCCUUGUGGAGGAGGACGUCGAAGGUGGGGCUGAUGACUGGGGUGAAGUCGUAACAAGGUAGCCGUACCGGAAGGUGCGGCUGGAUCACCUCCUAA